CCACGAUCCGCUUGCCCACGUACUCGUAGAGCAGCACGGCCUUGUCGUGGCAACCUGAGGGUGGCACACGGGGUGAGGGCUGGGGUGUCCCCAGAGAGUCCCCAGCAGGGGAUGGGACAGGGGUGAGGCUGGGGGUGUCACCAGAGAAACCACAGCAGGGGAUGGGAGAGAGGAUUGAGAUGUCCCCAGAGAGCCCCCAGCAGGGGAUGGGACAGAGGGGUGAGGUUUGGGACAUUCCCAGAAAACCCACAGCAGGGAAUGGGAGAGAGGACUGAAGGUUGGGAUGUCCCCAGAGAGACCCCAGCAAGGGAUGGGAGAGAGGGGUGAGGGUUGGGAUGUCACCAGAGAAACCACAGCAGGGGAUGGGACAGUGGUGAGGGUUGGGGUAUCCCUGGAGGAGCCACAGCAGGGAAUGGGAGAGAGGGGUGAGGCUUGGGGUGUCCCUAAAGAACUCAGGGGGUUCUCCAGGGAUGGGAGAGAGGGGAUGGGACAGAGGGGUGAGGUUUGGAUGUCACCAAAGAGACCUCAGCAGGGAAUGGGAGAGAGGGGUGAGGGUUGGGAUGUCCCUGGAGAACUCAGGGGGCUCUCCAGGGAUGGGACAGAGGGGUGAGGGUUUGGAUGUCACCAGAGAGACCCCAGCAAGGGAUGGGAGAGAGGCAUGAGAGCUGGGAUGUCACCAGAGAGCUCACAGCAGGGAAUGGGACAGAGGGGUGACAUUUGAGACAUUCCCAGAAAACCCACAGCAGGGGAUGGGAGAGAGGGGUGAGGCUUGGGAUGUCCCCAGAGGGUCCCCAGCAGGACGGGCAGUUUUGGGGCUGCUACAUCACCCCUGGUGCCAUGGGAAUGGCUGGUGCUGGGUUUCAGUGGUGGCUUUGCUUUCAGUGACACCUGGAUGCCCUCACUGUCCCCCCGAGGUGUGAGCAGGGCCUUUCCAAGCCCUGGGGAAGGAGCAGGUUUUUGAGCCAGCCCUGAGUCAGUGGUGCCAGCACAGCAUGUUUAGGGUAGGGAAGCAGCUGUGGGGAGGGAGGAGAUGUGUUGAUGGUGGGGGAGAGAAAAAAGAAGAGGUGGAAAAGCAACAAAGCUGACCCAGGUAGCAGCCAAUUAAUUUCUCCUCCAGCACAGGUUUUUUUAUUUGUUGUGGCACAUAAAACAGCACAAGACUCCUUGGUCUGGUGUUGCAGCAUUGUCUAGACAGGUUUUGGGGAUAAUGCUGGGGAGGUGAAUCCACAAACACACAGGAAAGAGCACACACAGGUGUGCAAGGGGGGCUGUGCACACACAUUUACAUGUACACACACGGGCUUCCUGUUUCAACACCCUGACCUUUCCCACAGCAGCUCAGUUACAGGAAAAAAGAAGUUUCAGCUCAUGUAUAAAUCAGAAGAGUCAGAACACCCCUCUGGUUUCACCCACAGAACCUGGGCCUUCAGUGCAAAAGCAAAUGUUUCAUUUCUAGAGAGUUUCUGUACUUAAAAGUGAGUUUCAGAAAUGCAAGAUCCUGAUCAAAGAGACAAGUUUGAUUAAAAUAUUGGGGACUUUU